rnacentral:rRNA from 1 species
AACGAACGCUGGCGGCAUGCCUAACACGUGCAAGUCGAACGAAGCCUUCGGGCUUAGUGGCGCACGGGUGCGUAACGCGUGGGAAUCUGCCCUUUGGUUCGGAAUAACAGUUGGAAACGACUGCUACUACUGGAUGAUGACGAAAGUCCAAAGAUUUAUCGCCAGAGGAUGAGCCCGCGUAGGAUUAGCUAGUUGGUGUGGUAAAGGCGCACCAAGGCGACGAUCCUUAGCUGGUCUGAGAGGAUGAUCAGCCACACUGGGACUGAGACACGGCCCAGACUCCUACGGGAGGCAGCAGUGGGGAAUAUUGGACAAUGGGCGAAAGCCUGAUCCAGCAAUGCCGCGUGAGUGAUGAAGGCCCUAGGGUUGUAAAGCUCUUUUACCCGGGAUGAUAAUGACAGUACCGGGAGAAUAAGCCCCGGCUAACUCCGUGCCAGCCGCCGCGGUAA